UACAGAGGGGGCAAGCGUUGUUCGGAAUUACUGGGCGUAAAGGGCGCGUAGGCGGCCUGUUAAGUCGAACGUGAAAUCCCCGGGCUCAACCCGGGAACUGCGUCCGAAACUGGCAGGCUCGAAUCCGGGAGAGGGAUGCGGAAUUCCAGGUGUAGCGGUGAAAUGCGUAGAUAUCUGGAGGAACAUCGGUGGCGAAGGCGGCAUCCUGGACCGGUAUUGACGCUGAGGCGCGAAAGCGUGGGGAGCAAACAGG
rnacentral:rRNA from 1 species